rnacentral:rRNA from 1 species
AGUGAACGCUGGCGGUAGGCCUAACACAUGCCAGUCGAACGGCAGCACAGUAAGAGCUUGCUCUUACGGGUGGCGAGUGGCGGACGGGUGAGGAAUACAUCGGAAUCUACUUUUUCGUGGGGGAUAACGUAGGGAAACUUACGCUAAUACCGCAUACGACCUACGGGUGAAAGCAGGGGAUCUUCGGACCUUGCGCGAUUGAAUGAGCCGAUGUCGGAUUAGCUAGUUGGGGGGGUAAAGGCUCACCAAGGCGACGAUCCGUAGCUGGUCUGAGAGGAUGAUCAGCCACACUGGAACUGAGACACGGUCCAGACUCCUACGGGAGGCAGCAGUGGGGAAUAUUGGACAAUGGGCGCAAGCCUGAUCCAGCCAUACCGCGUGGGUGAAGAAGGCCUUCGGGUUGUAAAGCCCUUUUGUUGGGAAAGAAAAGCAGCAGGUUAAUACCCCGCUGUUCUGACGGUACCCAAAGAAUAAGCACCGGCUAACUUCGUG